GGAGAGCUGCAGUGCUGAUAAGGGCUGUGUCUGCCUUCCAGCAGUAACUAAGUAACUAAGACCUUUGGCUAUGAGACUGGCUCAAGCCCUCUGCGAUUACUACUACUACUACUACUACUACUACUACUACUACUACUACUACUACUAUUUUAUCAGUGUGUGUUGCAGAUUGGGGGGCAGAGGACAGCUUGCAGCAGUUGCUUCUUACGUUUCCUCAUCACCGGGGAAAGUUCCGGUUCCAUCGGCGGCGAGUGCUCAGGGUUCCAGGCUUUUCCUCUGCUGGUCUUAGGUAAGUUCCUUACUGUAGGGGGUUCAUCAACCUCCACUGUUAGGGGCCCGAGUCCCCUACCCCUGUCUACUUGAACUGCAGGCGUGUUUCC
rnacentral:lncRNA from 1 species